GCCUCAGUAACGGCGAGUGAAGCGGCAAGAGCUCAAAUUUGAAAUCUGGCUCCUUCGGGGCCCGAGUUGUAAUUUGUAGAAGAUGCUUCGGGUGUGGCUCCGGUCUAAGUUCCUUGGAACAGGACGUCAUAGAGGGUGAGAAUCCCGUAUGUGACUGGAUGCCUACGCCCGUGUGAAGCUCUUUCGACGAGUCGAGUUGUUUGGGAAUGCAGCUCAAAAUGGGUGGUAAAUUUCAUCUAAAGCUAAAUACUGGCCAGAGACCGAUAGCGCACAAGUAGAGUGAUCGAAAGAUGAAAAGCACUUUGGAAAGAGAGUUAAACAGUACGUGAAAUUGUUGAAAGGGAAGCGCUUGCAAUCAGACUUGCGCCCGGGCGAUCAUCUGGGGUUCUCCCCAGGGCACUCGUCCGGGCUCAGGCCAGCAUCAGUUCUCGUGGUGGGAUAAAGGUCCUGGGAAUGUGGCCCCUCUCGGGGGGUGUUAUAGCCCAGGGCGCCAUGCCGCCUACGGGGACUGAGGACCGCGCUUCGGCUAGGAUGCUGGCGUAAUGGUUGUAAGCGACCCGUCUUGAAACACGGACCAAGGAGUCUAACAUCUAUGCGAGUGUUUGGGUGCUAAACCCAUGCGCGGAAUGAAAGUGAACGGAGGUGAGAACCCGUCAGGGCGCAUCAUCGACCGAUCCUGAUGUCUUCGGAUGGAUUUGAGUAAGAGCAUAGCUGUUGGGACCCGAAAGAUGGUGAACUAUGCGUGAAUAGGGUGAAGCCAGAGGAAACUCUGGUGGAGGCUCGCAGCGGUUCUGACGUGCAAAUCGAUCGUCAAAUUUGCGUAUAGGG
rnacentral:rRNA from 1 species